rnacentral:lncRNA from 1 species
GUUCAUCAUGACAACAGCCUGCACACCUCUGUUAGUAAUAUAAUAAUUAAAAAUCAAUAAUAACAUACUGUAGGUCCUUUACCAGAAACGCUCUUAGUAACGCCAUUCGGUGGACUUUCAUCCAUAACGGUGGAAGAAGCAUCAGAACUAUAAGACGAGACCGACAUUCUAUUAACAGAAAAUUUGGAAAAUGUGUUGUUAAAAUAAUUUCCAAGCCGAGAAGUAUGGUUCAAUACGGGAGCAGUUCUUUUUAGUGCAAAACAUGAUGGGCAAAAUCGAAUCAUUUUGGCAUGAGUAGUCGACCGACAAAAAUCGUAAGAGGUUCGUUUUUAACACAAAAAAAUCAAAAAUUUAAGAUUGCAAACAGAAGAAAUCCUUACGAGCCUUUAAUACAACAAUAAACAAUACUAAAAUAUAUGGUCACCGGUUGGUUCUUUUUAAUAUAUAGUAGCUGUAGUAAGUCAUCAGCGCUAAAAUAAGCUUAUAUUUAAGCGACUUUUUCAUUACUGCUAACACUGGUAGUUAGUAUUAGUUUUCAACAAAAAGGUCUUAAUGCAACUGAUUCGCGUUACUCGUAUUAUAGCUGUAUAAGUACUACAAUAGGUUGCAUUAAAUUAGUUCAGAAGGUAAUUGCAAACACUAAGUACUUGCUACAAAACAACUUGGUCAUUUAAUUUUCAUCAUUUUAUAACUGGAAUUGCACAUAGGAGUACGAGUGCGAGUACAAGCACAACAUUCAUUCUUGAAUGCCUUCUACAAGAAUGCGUUAUAUGAACUCACUUACAUUCAAUGAUUAGAACUCUCCGAAAUGUUAUUGAAAAUGAAGGUAUACGUCUCAUUAGCCCUAAAAAACCCAAUAUUAAAUCCAUAGUCCAACAUUAAAUGCUUGCUAAAAAUAACAGAAAGAAAAGUGCGCAUACACAUCGCGCAGAAAUUAAAAUAGAAUAAAAUGGGAGUCUUGAAAAAGAGGAAGUCAAGAAAUGGCAAAGAACUAUCAGGAUUUACGACUUUCUGACAAAGACAUUCUUAACUGAAAGAUAAGCAUCGUAAAUCCUUUCUUUGACUUCAUUAUCAUGGUGAGCAACGACAAUGUCGUUUUUCUUAUUAAGUUCGUCGUUCGACGAUACAAGAGAAGGAGGGCGGCGGACUGUUCCAACACCAUCAACGCCCUGCCCCUUUUUAAGCCAAGGCUUGAUGGACUCACGAGUAGCGUCAACGAACACGUGGUAUACAAACAAACCCAAUAUAAUUAAGACGAAGGCAAUGGGGUACAGCCAGUACACAUGAUAUCCAAACACAUGAAUACCAAUAACCAAGCUCCAAAAAUCGGAAGUCAAUAAAGAGAUAUUAUAAAAAGUCGCAGAAGACAUUCUAAAGAGAAUAGGAGCCAAACUAUAAAGCAAGAACAUGACGAGAAUAAAACCAGCUAAGUAACCACCCAUUUCACUAGUCCAAUGCAGGGUAUACAAAUGGUGACGGUCAAAAAUAAAGGUUUGAAUAAUGCUGAUAAUAGAACCGUAGAGACUUAAUUGACCGAUGACUACGUAAAGCGGCAAUUUGGAAGCAAAGUAUUCCUCCAAAGUAUUGGACACACCAUAACACGUAGCGCCGAUAAUCAUG